rnacentral:rRNA from 1 species
UACGUAGGGUGCGAGCGUUGUCCGGAAUUAUUGGGCGUAAAGAGCUCGUAGGCGGUUUGUCACGUCGGAUGUGAAACCCCGGGGCUUAACUCCGGGCCUGCAUUCGAUACGGGCUGACUAGAGUUCGGCAGGGGAGACUGGAAUUCCUGGUGUAGCGGUGAAAUGCGCAGAUAUCAGGAGGAACACCGGUGGCGAAGGCGGGUCUCUGGGCCGAUACUGACGCUGAGGCGCGAAAGCCAGGGGAGCGAACGGG